rnacentral:lncRNA from 1 species
UUUCUUUUCUUAUUUAUGUAUCUAAAUAUGUUUUGUCCCCUUUUUUUUUACUGACUGUGCUAUUUUCUCUUCUGUGUGUGAUUUGGAAGCUCUUAUAACUUGCUUAGCCUCUUUCUGCCUAACCUUUAGAUCUGUCUAUCUUCCUCACUCUGGGUUUAUUUGUAAUUACUAAAAGCUAACUUUUAGUUUCUUACUAUUUUGGCCACAUCUGCAGAGUACCACAUUGGUUUCUUAAAUUUUUUUCUUUACUGACAAGCCUAAUACAAUUUUCUGUUGUGUUCAGCAGUGAAACUUUUAAAUAAUCCCAUUUCUCUUGGACUCCAUUUAAACUGCUCGAGUCUGAUAAUGACUCUUUUACACAUAAAAGUCUGCAUUUAGAAUAACAAAGCAUCAUGGAAGUAGUAGUGUUAGAUCAUCUGGGGAUCUACCUUUUGGCACCCCUGCUUUGGACACCCCUCUUCUAAGCAGGGCUAUGAAAAAAACUAAAAACUAAAACAGAAGCACAAACAUUGGAUGAUACCAUAAAACACUUAGCACUUAGCAAAGUUGCUUACAAGAUAUCCGAAUUGUAAACGUGCAUUACGGCAAGUGCUGUAUUCUUUUAUCUUUUAUCUUUUGUUCUUUUAUCUUUUAUUAUUGUAUCUUUUAUUCUUUUACCCUCCUAUACAGCAGGAACUGAUGAUUAGUCCAAUGUAAAUUCAAAUUAAAAAUUAAGUAUUAUUUAUUCUGAUUGCCAAAUGCAUUUCACCCCACUGAAAGGGUGUGCCAAUGAGUUACCCUUUGCCAGUUGCUUCUGAAAAUUACCAGGUUCAAAUGUAAUGCAUGAUUCUGAGUAAAGUAUUGCGUGACUGUGUUAGCUAGGAAUUCGAAUGACUGAUCCUUUGUCUUUAGUUUUGUCAUAUCUAUUAGUUUGUCCUUGUCUCAUGCAGAAUUGACUUGUUUCCUAGCAAUCAGUUCUCAUUCACAUAUACAUGUACUCAUUUCAAUGACAGCUCCCUUGGCCAUCAUUUAAAUGUCUAGUAUGUAGUAUAUAUAAUGAGCCAUUUCUAUGUUCCAUGACAAGUGUGUAUAUCGUCCAUUAUACAAAAGUAAAAAUGUAAAGAUUAAAAUAAUAUAUUCAUUUUUUCAGGGAUAGUUGGAAAAUCAAAGCCUUGUACGUGAUAGGUCUGUAUGCCUUUGCAUGACCUUCAAGAAUUAUGUAUAGCAUAUAUAGAAUUAUUUUCUUGGUAACAGAAACAUGUAUAUAUGAUGUACGUACAGUACAAUUGUUGUUAAUGUUUCAAGAUGUCUCAACAAAAUGUGUUAUAAGAAAUUUCUCAAAUCUACCCUCCGUGUUUCAAUGUUUUUAGGUAAUAUAAACAAAAGCCAUACUUUGAUUUUUUAUUAAUUUUACAUUUGUAUUUUAAUAGUAGUAUUGUUAAUAUUAUUAUUAUACUUGGGAAGAAACUCAACUAUAAGUUGACAAAAAAUGUUUUUCCUCAAAUCGAACGAAUAGUGGAAUUUAUUGAAAUAGUUCAAUGAUCCUCAGGUUAUCGGUUGUGUUGGCAAUUCUCUUUCAAAGCACUUAAUAUGCAUUCAUUAAAGUGAUUUGAACACUUGCCAUCUAAGCAAUCAGCUGAUUGUGAACUGUGUGUAAAGUCAAGAAAGCCAUUAAAGUUAAUAGGAACACCGAGUUAGGAUUUUAAAUUAAAAGCAGUGUUUUGACAGAAUGCUGAUAAUUUUAUGCUUAUGGACUCAGCAGAACUCAGCUUGAUAUAUGCCAGUAGUGGCGAACUAUGGCACUGCAGAUAUUUUGUUUAGAUUUGCUGGGCAUCACGAGAAAUGCAGAUCAUGAACAUUUGCAGUGCCAAAGGAAGUCAUCACUGAUAUAUGUUUAUUGAAAGAGGUGUCGAGACAAUCCAGGGAAUGUUUAAUAGGAUCAGUUAUGCAAAAAAAGAUGUAAAAUAUUUAUGGGAAAAAAAAUAUUAAGUAUUUUAUAGUAUAGCAUUGGUGAUGUACAUAGUUUGUGUUAUAAUCAAAACCAGCACACGGAAAUUGGCCGUUCUAAUGUGACGGAGUCUUGUACAAUGCCCGCUAGUUGGUUAACUAUAAGAUUGUUUGGAUUAUUCACUAAAGUCAAGUCAAUGCGAAUUAAAUUUGUAUGCCAAUAUAUCAGAAUUUUGGCCACACCAGCUGUUUUCGGUUUGACUAUCUUAGCUCAAAAUUUUAAGUUCUCUUUGAAUUUACUUUGAAUUCUCAACAAUUGACACGUUAGUAAAUAACCAUGUGCCUGUUCUUCAAGAUAUAUUGCAGCUCAGCUAAGAGAGGUUGGGCUAACAGAGCCACUAAGGUUUCCUGAAGGCCUAUAACAUCUUUAUUCUAAUGGCCAGUACACAUAAGUACUGCCUAUCAGUAGGUAGAAUUUUCAUAGUGCACAUGGAAAUUAUCUAACGAACUAUGGCAACUAAUUUUAGAUUCAUUCUUUACCAAUUAAUUAAUUUCUUACAAAUAGUACACACAAUGAACAUACUGCAAUGCCAUUAUAAUAGAUCGUUGUCCAGGAAACCACAAUGGCUCUGUCAGUCUCUUUUUGUUCCUAAAGAAAUCAAUUGCAACUUUAUAGAAGCCAUCAUAUUAAAAGAUGAAAAUUAGUUUCAUCCCAUCUGUCAGCUAACUGCAAUUCACAGGGCUUAUUCGCUAAGUGGCAAUUCAAACUGAAUUUCAUAUUUAAGGUCAAAGUAGCCCAUUUGGAAGCACAGCUGAAUUAGAGAAUAUUUCCAUUUGAUCUAUUUUGACUUUAAAUUUGAAAUUCACUUUGAGUUCUAACUUUAGUCAAUAACCCUGGUAAUAAAUAGACCAUACACAAUCUUAAUUCAAUGGGGGAGAUUUAUCAAGUGUCAGUGACAUUUUUGACCUGUUGCUUUCUUGUUUGUCUGUUACCAUUUUUAGAUAUUUGCCAUAUUUUGGCAACACAUCAGGAGUAUCGUUUUUUUCAGUUACCUUUUCGUUUCUCUUUUUUUCUUGUACUGAAAUGAAUCUUUCUGUGUAAACCAGCAGACUUUAUUAUAAAGUAAACUGUCACUUUUUCGAUCACUUUAAGAACCCUUCAAAGAUAUACAAUCAAAAUAUUUAUGACAAGUAAAGGAAUACUAUAGUGUUAAGAAUAGUAAGCUGUAUUCCUAACAUUAUAGUGUCCCUCUACACCCGUGGCCCCCCAACAAUGAAGGGGAUAUAAAAUGUUUAAAAACCCUUUAACUCACUUGCCUGUUUUAAGCACCAAGGUCCCCCGGCACUGGCUCUUUCCCACCUCUUUCAACGUCAUUGUGAGGGGGACCCUAACAAACAUAUUGAAUCUAUGCUCUUCUUUGAGGUUUUGCAAGACGUUGGACGUUCUCAUGCAAAGCGUGAGGCUGUCCAGCAUCAUUUCACUGAGUUAAACUGCUUGAAACAGCAGGCAGCGCCUCUAUUGG